AAUGUGGUCAGCGAUGUGUGGUGGGGAUGGGGGCUGCCCCUCCUCUGUGACCAAUUCCUCAGGAAUUCACUCCUCUGCAGCUGUGAAACCCCACCUCCUCCUGCUGCCCUUUGUCUCCUUUCUCCUUUCCUGCCAUCACAUGGCCUCUUCCUCAGGUCCUUGGGCCCAGAGGCCUCCCCCAGUAUGGCUUGUGACCCUCUUCCCCACAGGGCAGCCCCCACCCCAGCUGAGCUCCCUGCCUCUGCCUCCUGUUUGAGGAGGGUGCUGUGUCUGCUCUGGCCAGUUUCAGGGAGCAUCACAAAGGCUCCUUUCACCAGAGGGCAUUGUAGGGGGACUGGGAGGGGACGCGGUGCCCUCCUGCCUGUGGGCAUAAAGACCCCCUUUCUCUUGUGCUGCGUCAGUCCUCUGUCUCUCUCUCUACUGGCAGGCAGAGGGGCCCCGUGCAGGGAGAUUCUUGUCCUUCCUUUUAAAGUACUGGGGCCAGGCCAGACAAUGACGGUGAUUUAUAGUUGCUGGGCCGUGGGGCUGCCUGCUGGGGUGGCAUUGAUUGGCCAGGAGUGCCUGGAUGCAGAGAACCCUGCACCACUGGGUCUGGGGGUGUCUGCCUAGGACCCCACAGGGGGAGCCCUGACUUACCAGCUAUUAAGUGAAAGGGUGCUGGUAAUUUCAGACUCCUCCAGCUCUGCUGUGCUGGGCUGCUGCUUCAACUGGCCUCUGCUUGAGUCUGUUAGCUCUGGAUUUCUCAGCCCCAACUCAUGUCAGAACCCUUGCACUGCAGCUCCGACAUUCUGUGCUGGACAGAAACCAGGAAGUGGGAGCACACAGGAGCCACAGGGAUCAUCGGAGGGGAUGAGGGGGAGCUGGGGGAACAACUUAGAGGUAUGAUGCCCACAUAUGCCCGCAGAACAGCUGGAUCUGUGGUGGGGAGUGCUAGAGAGCCGGAGAGAGAGGGAUGGGGAGCGGGUGUGCAAAAGGAGGGAGAGAGAGGAGCCAGGAGAGAGGAACACACACACACAGGAACAAGAGAGAAAUGAUUCAGAGGAAAAGAGAGGGGGAAAGCAGGAGGGGGAGGGGGAGAAUGGGAGAAAGAGGAUGAAAGAGGUGGAGGCCAGAGCCAGGCGGAGCAGAAAGCAGAGCAGGUGAAACGCCAGAGGACUUCUCCCCAGUCCUCACUGACCUUCCCUCCCACUGCCCGCCCCACGCCUGCAUCCCCACCCGAGGCCUCGCUGGCCGGGGAGGGAGGCAGGGGCAUGCCUCUGCAGCGACCUGAGCCACUGCAGUCAGCUUCUUUACCCACUGUGGCACAGUGGGAACUCCUAGAAGGAACUUCUAGAUUAAACAGCAUGACAGGCCCACAAGGGAAGUAGCCCUUCAUUGGAGCCCUGGCCUUCCUGAAGCAGGGGACUGGCCACCAUGACCUCCCGUCUUGUCUUAUUCUGAGUUGAUAGUACCCCCCCGGGAAGAAGGCAGGGUCAUGGUCAGGGGCUUAGGCGCCGGAGUCAAGCUGGGCUGGUGUGGUCACAGCAUCUGUCCAGGUGGGCCUCCUGACCGACCGGCUCCUCUCCACCCCCAGCUUUUGUUCUAGGAAAAGGCAGCUGGGGGAGGGGGUGGAGGGCAGGAGUGUUUCCAGGGAAAAAAACAGAUCCUUCCAUGGAACAGGCAGCUGGCGCCUCCAUCUCCCGCCACUUCACCCCUCCGCCUCCAUCCUGUCCCCCUCCUGCCACCGCCUCCAUUCCUUCCUUCCUCCCCUCUGGCAGGAGGAGCCCAGCAGCUGGAAAAGCCAUGCUCUGCUCCCAACUCCCACCUCAGCAGUGCUGAGCCCAGGGUGGCCCUGCAGAGGGUGUGUGUGUGCGUGUGAGAGAGAGAAAGCACUGCCUGGCCACCAUCGCCUGUAAUGCUGGCAGCGGGAGAGGCAGCCUGAGCUGACCACUUGGAGCCUUGGUUUUGUCAUCUGAAAUAUGGGCAUGACCCUUGCCCUGCUUCCCUAAUAGGGUCACAGAAACCAAGGAGGGAGGGGCAGGAACAUGUCCCUGAGGCCCCCUGAUCCCUCAUACCAGUCAUCAAGGCAGGUGCUGUUAUUAAUGUCCCCUUUUCCCAGCGAGAGCCUGAGGCUCAGAGAUGUAAAGGGCCCACAGCAGGAAGGGUAGCCCAGAGACUGCAGCCCAGUUCCGACCAACACGUUACCCACAAGGCCCCUGGGCGCCGCUUCCUCCCUCCAGGGCUCUGAGGCUCCUAGUCCCUCAUGCUGAAGAACUGCCUCUCCCCAGGGACUGGGGGGCCCUUCCUGACUUAGUGGACUUUCAGCAGGCUGUCUCAGCCUAAAGAAUCCCCACAGCCACCCCCCUCCCCCCGUCCAACUCCUUGUCAUUUAUUUGAGGAGCCUGAGGCCCAGGGGCCUAGAGCUUUAGGUUGCAAAACACGUGGGACAGAACUGGGAUUCCGGCUUCCUGCCUAAUGGUCCUGGCUGUGGGCUGUUUUUCUCUCUUCCUUCCUCUAAGCCCGAACUAGUUCCUGGAAGGGUUAUCAACACAGGCACGCUCCCCUUCCUCUCUCUUUUCUGCCUGGCCCAAACCCCACCUAACCCUCCCCAAAUGGGGGGCUCAGCUGGGCAGGGAUGCUGAGUGAGGCUUCUGGACAUCCCUUCUGGCUCCCUUUCCCUUUCUGAGGUGUAAGCUCUGCCUCCUGCAGGCUGCUCAGCAGGACCCAGCCCUUCUCCAGACCUCAUCUUCACCCUGACCCCCUCAUCCCAGUGUAAACACCGUGGCCUUUGGCUGAGGCCCCUGAGACCAGCUCCUUGGUUGGUCAGCCUGGAGAUCCCCCCACAACCACCACCACCACCAGGGCACAGGAAACAGCCAGAAACAAGCCCCUUCCCCAAUAUCAACUUUUUCCUGAGUCCAAGUCUGAGGAGGCUUCCAGGAGGAGAAGGGAUUUAGGGAGUGCUUGCCAGUCCGAGGUGGCUUGGGUAGGGAUGGUGCCCAAAGCAGAGAGGGGAGUGAAGGUAGAUGGGGCUGGGGAAAGUUCCAGAACAUACUUGGCACGAGACCUGCAGCCCUCCUAGAGCCGGCUAACCAACACAACCAAAGGGACAGAGGGGGGACACAGCCAGAGGAGACAAGGCCUAGGGGCACAGAUACCAAGUCUGCUGGGAAGACACUGGGGCAGGGGUGACCCCCACGCACCCGGGCUCAGUCCACUGUGUCAACCACUAUCAGCCCUGAAGCUGCUGCUCUCCCUGGGCUCAGCUCAGUCUGUCACAUGUCAUGGCUGUUUUGGGGUGCCCGGUUCUGAGCUCUGGGGUGCCUCAGAUGCCAUACCUGCCCCUGGCAGGUACCACUUGGUGGGGGCACUGCACACUCCCUGCAGCAGGAGUGGUUCCUGAUGGCCCAGAUCCCUGGGCUGGUGCUCCCGUCCCUCAGCUGCGUGCUGCUGGUAGUUCUCAGCUCACCCCCUCCAGAGGCUGCCCUUGGCUGAUGCCUGCAGGCAUUGAUAUUACGUGGUGAUGCCUGGGAAGUUAUAAGCAGUGACUGACUGACGUGGGUGGAUAGCAGCCUGGUCCCCUGGUCUCUGGAGUCCACAACUUCUUCGGUGCCAUUCACACUCCGGGAUUCCCAAGAAUCAGGCUGAGGCAAGAUUUCUCCUAAAAUUAUGUCCCGUUCAGCUUCUUCCUCUGCCCUGUUCUGCUUCCCUCACUUUCAUACCGAUUGAAGCUUUCAAUAAAGCACUUGCACAAAAAUUCCAUCUCAGUUUCUGAUUCUAGGGAGCUGACCUCAGAUACCCACAGAACUGACCUGGUCGCUUCUCCUAUAGCAUGGCAUUAGGCCUGGGGAAAGGGGAUGGGAGGCCCAGUCUUAGGGCACAGAAAAGCCUCCCCAAAAAGGUGACAUUUGAAUCAGGGCCUUGAAGGUUGAGUAAAAUUGUUGAGCUGAAUAGGAGUUCCCGUCGUGGCGCAGUGGUUAAUGAAUCCGACUAGGAACCAUGAGGUUGCAGGUUCGAUCCCUGGCCUUGCUAAGUGGGUUAAGGAUCCGGCGUUGCCGUGAGCUGUGGUGUAGGCCGGUGGCUAUAGCUCCGGUUCGACCCCUAGCCUGGGAACUUCCCUAUGCUGUGGGAGUGGCCCAAGAAAUGGCAAAAAGACAAAAAAAGAAAAAAGCUUGCCUGAUUUAAUUGCUCAGGACAUGAGAGGCCAGAGAUGCAACACGAGCAAAGGCUCUUGGGCAGGAAAAGGCAGGGCAAGUUCAAAGCGGAGAGUGGAGCUGCGGCUGGAGGGGAGGGGUACGGAAGGGAGGUAGAGGAGACAAGACUAGAAAGGAUGCUAGGGCCUGAGCAGAGGGUGGUCAUCCCCGUGCUGUAGGCUCAUGUCACCUAGCACCACACAGCGCUCGCAGCUGAUGGACCGUCAGACUCUUGCUGAGCCCAGACAGAGCCUCAGAAUCCUCACCUGGUGCCUGGCAGGCUCUAUCAGUCUGCUGAAUUAGCAUGUGAGUUGACACCCAGAGAAAGGCCAGGCUGGGCCAGUGAUGGGAUGUGUGAGCCAAACCCAGAGGCCUGCGGAGAAGGAGCCCAUGUACAGUAGAGGGCUCCCCAGGGAAGUGGCCAUUGUGGCCCAUAAAUAGGUUAGGCGGCCAGGAAACAGGAAAUCCUGACAAUACAAUGAGGCUUGGAGCACAGGGGUUUCCUCCAGGCUGAGGGCUGAACUAAGGAUGCUUCUUGGGCCUAAGGCCUUAUUGAAGCAAGGUUCCCUGAUCACUGGCCUCAGAUGCCUGGCCAGGCCUCAGGGUGAGGCCCACCCUCACUGGCCCCGGCUCAGCCAAGGGCGGCUCAGGUCAGGCCAGCACACGCCAGGACAGGCAGCAGAACCCUGAGGGAAGAGUCAUGACGGGCUUGGCUCCCAGCUGAGCUUGGAACUGGGCAGUGAUAGGAGCAGCUAGGGCAGCCAGACCAGGGGCCAGGGGGCUCCCCCAGGAUUAGGGGGUACUUCUACCAGGCCCUCCAGCCCAAGGAGCCUCUCUAUACCUCUAAGGCUACGUUGGUGGCUUGUCCCUGCCCUGGCUCCCCAAGGGCAUAGCAAGCACUAGGCUGGCCCUACCUGGACCCCAGCAAUGGAGCAACAAUGAGGUCCCUCAUUAGAGAACUAGACAGGCUGGAAAACCAUGUCCCAAAAUAAUAGUACUAAGAAAAUCAAGUAACAAAACAUGAUGUCCUAUGGGAUCCCAAUUUUGUUAAAAUACAAACAGGGUAGUUCCCGUCAUGGCACAGCGGAAACGAAUACAACUAGGAACCCAGAGGUUGCGGGUUUGAUCCCUGGCCUCACUCAGUGGGUUAAGGAUCCGGCAUUGCCGUGAACUGUGGUGUAGGUUGCAGACAUGGCUUGGAUCUGGCGUUGUGGUGGCUGUGGCGUAGGCCGGCAGCAAUAGCUCCCAUUAGACCCCUGGCCUGGGAACCUCCAUAUGCUGCAGGUAAGGCCCUAAAAAGACAAAAGAUUAAAAAAAAAUACAAACAUAAAAAUCUGGGCGUGUGUGUGUGUGUGUGUGUGUAUGCCCAUGCUUGUGCACAGAGGAGACUGGAAAGAGGACCAACAAAAUGUCAAAGCAGUAGAGUGUCAGGGAAUUUUUAUUUCUUCUUUAUUCUUUUCUGUC
rnacentral:lncRNA from 1 species